rnacentral:rRNA from 1 species
UACGUAGGGGGCUAGCGUUGUCCGGAAUCAUUGGGCGUAAAGCGCGUGUAGGCGGUCCGGUAAGUCCGCUGUGAAAGUCGAGGGCUCAACCCUCGAAUGCCGGUGGAUACUGUCGGGCUUGAGUACGGGAGAGGCGAGUGGAAUUCCUGGUGUAGCGGUGAAAUGCGUAGAUAUCUGGAGGAACACCGGUGGCGAAGGCGGCGUCCUGGACCAACACUGACACUGAUGAGCGAAAGCCAGGGGAGCAAACGGG